rnacentral:rRNA from 1 species
GACGAACGCUGGCGGCGUGCUUAACACAUGCAAGUCGAACGAUGAAGCCGGAGCUUGCUCUGGUGAAUUAGUGGCGAACGGGUGAGUAACACGUGAGUAACCUGCCCUUGACUCUGGGAUAACUGCUAGAAAUGGUAGCUAAUACCGGAUACGACCCUCGGCGGCAUCGCCAGGGGGUGGAAAGAAUUUCGGUCAAGGAUGGACUCGCGGCCUAUCAGCUAGUUGGUGAGGUAACGGCUCACCAAGGCGACCACGGGUAGCCGGCCUGAGAGGGUGACCGGCCACACUGGGACUGAGAGACGGCCCAGACUCCUACGGGAGGCAGCAGUGGGGAAUAUUGCACAAUGGGCGCAAGCCUGAUGCAGCAACGCCGCGUGAGGGAUGACGGCCUUCGGGUUGUAAACCUCUUUUAGUAGGGAAGAAGCGAAAGUGACGGUACCUGCAGAAAAAGCACCGGCUAACUACGUGCCAGCCGCCGCUGUAA